AGCGAACGCUGGCGGCAGGCUUAACACAUGCAAGUCGAGCGGGCGUAGCAAUACGUCAGCGGCAGACGGGUGAGUAACGCGUGGGAACAUACCUUUUGGUUCGGAACAACUGAGGGAAACUUCAGCUAAUACCGGAUAAGCCCUUACGGGGAAAGAUUUAUCGCCGAAAGAUUGGCCCGCGUCUGAUUAGCUUGUUGGUGAGGUAACGGCUCACCAAGGCGACGAUCAGUAGCUGGCUGAGAGGAUGAUCAGCCACAUUGGGACUGAGACACGGCCCAAACUCCUACGGGAGGCAGCAGUGGGGAAUAUUGGACAAUGGGCGCAAGCCUGAUCCAGCCAUGCCGCGUGAGUGAUGAAGGCCCUAGGGUUGUAAAGCUCUUUUGUGCGGGAAGAUAAUGACGGUACCGCAAGAAUAAGCCCCGGCUAACUUCGUGCCAGCCGCCGCCGUAAG
rnacentral:rRNA from 1 species